rnacentral:rRNA from 1 species
GACGAACGCUGGCGGCGUGCUUAACACAUGCAAGUCGAACGGAAAGGCCCUGCUUUCGUGGGGUGCCCGAGUGGCGAACGGGUGAGUAACACGUGAGUAACCUGCCCUUGACUUUGGGAUAACUUCAGGAAACUGGGGCUAAUACCGGAUAGGAGCUCCUGCUGCAUGGUGGGGGUUGGAAAGUUUCGGCGGUCGGGGAUGGACUCGCGGCUUAUCAGCUUGUUAGUGGGGUAGUGGCUUACCGAGGCUUUGACGGGUAGCCGGCCUGAGAGGGUGGACGGCGACAUUGGGACUGAGGUACGGACCAGAGUCCUACGGGAGGCAGCAGUGGGGAGUAUUGCACAAUGAGCGGGAGCCUGAUGCAGCAACGCCGCGUGCGGGAUGACGGCCUUCGGGUUGUAAACCGCUGUCGCCUGUGACGAAGCGGGAGUGACGGUAAUGGGUAAAGAAGCACCGGCUAACUACGUG